ensembl:lncRNA
GGCCUUCCUCACCGCGCUGUCCCCACAGUGGUUCCGCCGGCCGCGUGGCACUGUCCCGGGAGGACAAGGAGGCUGCCAAGCUGGGGCUGUCGGUGUUCACGGUAACCCUACCCCCACCACACACACCGCUUAGUGCUCUGGGAGCCAGGGGGUGCCGCUGGGGAGAGCGUGGGGGUAGGCGGGCCAGGCCCCAACAUCCCUGCCUGCCCUCCCCACGGCACUGCUUCCCCCGCAGCAUCACCGCGUGGACAGCAGCAGCCCGGGCACCUGUCCAGCUUCCAAGAGGAGGCCACGCGCGGAGGAGGAGGCUGAGCCGAGCACCGAGAGCCACAAGAAAAGCAAGAAGGAGAAGAAGAAAAAGAAAAAGAAAAAACAUAAGAAACAGAAGAUGAAGAAAGACAAGGAGUCCAAGAAAGAGGCUGAUGCCUCUUCCUCAUCCCCUUCUCCUGUUCGAUCUGGGCGCCAGAGGCAUGAUUCUGACUCCUCUUCCCCUUGCUGCAAGAGGAGGAAGCGGGGACAUAGCAGGGACAGUGGAAGGAACCCAUCCUACAGACGUCAGGACCGAGGCUCUGAUGCUUGAGACUGCAGCUGGGUCAGUGGAGGCCAGAGCCUUGGACCCUACCCACCACUGUACCUUGUGGGGCAUGAGAGGACGACUGGACCCUAUGUGUUCUGGGUGCCAGCUCGCUCCUCCCACCCUGUUGGCCUGCUGGACCACCCAGGGAAAGGCCUCCUGUCUGGGUUGAGGCAAAGGCUGUGUACUGUGCCUGCUGGGCCAUGUGAGCUGGCUGGCCAACUCAAGAGGAACCUGCUUUGUGGAGACCCUCCAGAUUCCUGUGAAGGGAGUCCAUAGAACUCAGCGGGUUCUGGGACAACCAUCCCUGGUCUUGCCUGCUGCCAGACAAGAUCUGCACCUGCCUAAGAGCCUUUUGCAGAGACUAGACUCCUGUGUAGCCAUCCAGGCCCAUCAGAGGUUUAGCUAAAACCAAGUGUGGUUAUCUCUAUUCCUUUUUG